GGAGCUCUCCCAUAUGGUCGACCUGCAGGCGGCCGCGAAUUCACUAGUGAUUAGAGUUUGAUCAUGGCUCAGGACGAACGCUGGCGGCGUGCUUAACACAUGCAAGUGGUGCGACGAACCAGGGCUUGCCCUGGGGCAAAGCCGCGAACGGGUGAGUAACACGUGAGUAACCUGCCCCGAUGACCGGGACAACCCGAGGAAACUCGGGCUAAUACCGGAUGUGGCGCACAGAUCUAAGUCUGUUCGCUAAAGGAAGCUUCGGCCUCCGCAUUGGGAGGGGCUCGCGGCCCAUUAGCUUGUUGGUGGGGUAACGGCCUACCAAGGCAACGAUGGGUAGCUGGUCUGAGAGGACGAUCAGCCACACUGGGACUGAGACACGGCCCAGACUCCUACGGGAGGCAGCAGUGGGGAAUAUUGCGCAAUGGGCGAAAGCCUGACGCAGCGACGCCGCGUGGGGGAAGAAGGCCUUAGGGUUGUAAACCUCUUUCAGGUGGGACGAAGCCACUCGGGUUAAUAGCCCAGAGGGUGACGGUACCGCCAGAAGAAGCCCCGGCUAACUACGUGCCAGCAGCCGCGGUAAUACGAAUCGAAUUCCCGCGGCCGCCAUGGCG
rnacentral:rRNA from 1 species